GCAUAAGCGCACAGCUUCGCAUGAAGCAGUGUGAAAAACUCUGGUGGUAUACGAUGGAUCCGCGUCUGAUUAGCUAGUUGGCGGGGUAAAGGCCCACCAAGGCGACGAUCAGUAGCCGGCCUGAGAGGGUGAACGGCCACAUUGGGACUGAGACACGGCUCAAACUCCUACGGGAGGCAGCAGUGGGGAAUAUUGCACAAUGGGGGAAACCCUGAUGCAGCGACGCCGCGUGGGUGAAGAAGUAUUUCGGUAUGUAAAGCUCUAUCAGCAGGGAAGAAAAUGACGGUACCUGACUAAGAAGCCCCGGCUAACUACGUGCCAGCAGCCGCGGUAAUACGUAGGGGGCAAGCGUUAUCCGGAUUUACUGGGUGUAAAGGGAGCGUAGACGGCAGCGCAAGUCUGGAGUGAAAUCCCAUGGCUUAACCAUGGAACUGCUUUGGAAACUGUGCAGCUAGAGUGCAGGAGAGGUAAGCGGAAUUCCUAGUGUAGCGGUGAAAUGCGUAGAUAUUAGGAGGGACACCAGUGGCGAAGGCGGCUUACUGGACUGUAACUGACGUUGAGGCUCGAAAGCGUGGGGAGCAAACAGGAUUAGAUACCCUGGUAGUCCACGCUGUAAACGAUGAUUACUAGGUGU
rnacentral:rRNA from 1 species